GUGGGGAAUAUUGGACAAUGGGCGCAAGCCUGAUCCAGCCAUGCCGCGUGAGUGAUGAAGGCCUUAGGGUUGUAAAGCUCUUUCACCGGAGAAGAUAAUGACGGUAUCCGGAGAAGAAGCCCCGGCUAACUUCGUGCCAGCAGCCGCGGUAAUACGAAGGGGGCUAGCGUUGUUCGGAAUUACUGGGCGUAAAGCGCACGUAGGCGGACAUUUAAGUCAGGGGUGAAAUCCCGGGGCUCAACCCCGGAACUGCCUUUGAUACUGGGUGUCUGGAGUAUGGAAGAGGUAAGUGGAAUUCCGAGUGUAGAGGUGAAAUUCGUAGAUAUUCGGAGGAACACCAGUGGCGAAGGCGGCUUACUGGUCCAUUACUGACGCUGAGGUGCGAAAGCGUGGGGAGCAAACAGGAUUAGAAACCCCAGUAGUCC
rnacentral:rRNA from 1 species